rnacentral:ncRNA from 1 species
CAGAAUCAGCUGGGAAAGAAGACCUUGUUGAGCUUAACUCUAGGCCAACUUUGUGAAAUAACUUGAGAGGUGUAGGAUAAGUUGGAGCAGAAAACAACUAAAGUGAAAUACCACUACCUUAACGUUAUUUUACUUAUUCCGUGAAUCGGAGGCGGGGCUCUGCCCCUCCUUUUGGUCCCAAGGUCAGCUUCAGUCGGUCAAUUCGGGCGGAAGACAUUGUUAGGUGGAGAGUUUGGCUUGGGCGGCACAUCUGUUAAAAGAUAACGUAAGUGUCCUAAGAUGAGCUCAAUGAGAAAAAAAAUCUCAUGUGGAACAAAUUGGUAAAAGCUCGUUUGAUUCUGAUUUCCAAUACGAAUACAAAUCGUGAAAGUGUGGCCUAUCGGUCCUUUAGUCCUUCAGAAUUUGAAGCUAGAGGUGUUAGAAAAGUUACCACAGGGAUAAAUGUCUUGUGACAGCUAAGCGUUCAUAGCGACGUUGCUUUUUGAUCUUCGAUGUCGGCUCUUCCAAUCAUUGUGAAGCAAAAUUCACCAAGUGUUGGAUUGUUCGCCCACCAAUAGGGAACGUGAGCUGGGUUUAGACCGUCGGGAGACAUGUUAGUUUUACCCUACUAAUGACAGUGUCGUAAUAGUAAUUCAACCUAGUACGAGAGGAAUCGUUGAUUCGCACAAUUGGUCAUCGCGCUUGAUCGAAAAGCCAGUGGAGCGUAGCUACCGUGCGUUGGAUUAUGACUGAACGCCUCUAAGUCAGAAUCCGGGCUAGAAGUGAUGCGUGUGCUUGUCGUUUGUUUGCAGACCAACAGUAGGGGGCCUUGCCCCUUAGAGGCACGUGCCCUUAGUGAACCUUGUAAGGUGAAUAAGCCUUAUGAUAUGCCUUAAAGUGCAAUUCCCAUUGAGCGUCGAGUAGAAUCCUUUGUAGACGACUUUGGUGUGGUUUUAUUGUAAAAACAAAUUUAUUUUUUUCAAAAAAAAAACAAAUUG